AAAAUAAAUGUAUGCACAAUGGCGCACGCGCACAGCCGGUUUGGGUUCCGUGUAAGGAAAGUCGCUAUUGGCUGUCCUAAAAGUCAUCGCCUAAUUUGCAUAAUUGUGCAUGUAAUUGUGAUGGACGCUGUAGGAGAGAGGAAUAACGUCGUGGGAGAGACAAAAAGUGAGUAAAAAAAAAAACCUAAAUAUGUUUAGAACUACAAAUAAGGAAGCUGCAGAGAGUGGCACACACAGUGAAUAAGAACCAGAUAUUUGAGGCCAUACACCUCCUUCAGCACAUUGUUAAUCUCAGUCAUAACAGAGGCAUUGUCAGUCCCUAUCCCCAGGAGUUUUUCUUUUUUAAGACAACACUUCUCGAGGAAAGCCACAACAGCACGUGCUAUGGAUUUGGCAUCUCCUCCCUCCAACUCAACAAGCCCCAGAAAUGUUGAUACAAUUGUCUUCUUGGUGCCACUAAAGUACCUUAUCACAACCCCCAGGUACUUACAUCCGUGGACUCAUCGAGGAGGAGGCUGAAAUGCUGGUUACCCACAUCUGCGACCAACUUUUUCAUAAAGACCAUGCCUCAGGACUACCUGGACUGAUGACUCCUUGCAGUCCCCAGUCCACCUGGUCGUGCUGCUGCUCCAGUUUCAACUGUUCUGCCUGCACCUACCGCACCUGCUGUCUCUUAACUAUUGAAUGCUCAGCCAUGAAAAGCCAACUGACAUUUACUCCUGAGGUGCUGACUUGUUGCACUCUCUACAACCACUGUGAUCAUUAUUUGACCCUGCAGGUCGUUAUGAACGUUUGAACAUAUUGGCCAUGUACUGUUAUAAUCUCCAACCGGCACAGCCAGAAGAGGACUGGCCACCCCUCAGAGCCUGGUUUCUUCCUAGGUUCCUACCUUUCUAGCAAGUUUUUCCUAGCUACCGUGCUUCUACAUCUGCAUUGCUUGCUGUUUGGGGUUUUCGGCUGGGUUUUUGUAUGGCACUUUGUGACAUCGGCUGAUGUAAAAAGGGCUUUAUAAAUACAUUUGAUUGAUUUAAGACCUCAUGAUAACCUGGUAGUGACCUCCAGACUGUAGAGUAUUACCUACUGUAUAAAGUAUUGCAGAUGAUAAAGUUGGAUAUUGAAAACAUUGUUCAUUACGGUUCUAUUUGUUUCUAUAGGCACCAAUUAAAGUUAAAAUCAGCAACAUA